UCCACCUUCUGUGGGGACACGGUGCCACCCCUGCACAGUGCCAGCCCACAGGCCCUCACCAACCAGACCCCCAAUAUCCAGGUGUCCAUCCCCCAGACUCUCGCCAGCCAAGUCCCCAACCCACCCGGAGGGACCAAAGAUAGCGCCCUCUGCUGUUCAGAAGCAGCCAGUGAAGUCAGUGAAUGGCUACUACCAGCUGACUGGCGUAGUCUCUCAUUUGGGAGGCUCCGCAAACUCCGGGCACUACAUUAGUGACAUCUUGAAUGCCAGUGGAAACUGGUUCUGCUGUAACGACAGCCAAGUGUCAAUGUCCAAUGAAGCCACUGUGCUGAGGACCAGAGCCCGGAGUGCUUACCUGCUCUUCUAUAUGUUCAGGGCAGGAGAGAAUUAGGCCCCAGCACACAGGGCCUAACAGGGCCUCCAGCACCAGCCUCAACAGGGGCAGCACCUGGACCAGCCUCCACACACCAAGCUCAGCCUCAAAAGGCUCAGCCCAGUCUCAACAGGGGUUGUACAGGCCUAGACUAAAUACCCUCAGCCCAGCUUCAACAGUGGUAGUCCUAGGCCCAGCUUUAACACCCCCAGCCCUGCCUCAACAGGGGCAGCACCAAGCCCGGCUUCAACACUCCCUGCCCAGCCUCAACAAGGGGGGUGGGGGUGUUAUGAUCACUACUGGCUUCUUCUCAUGGAACUGGCACAUUGAAAAGAGACCUGGUGUUUGGGAAAGAAGACUGAAACCUCCUGCUCCGACUGAGGAGGAUGAAGAACAAGGUGCGCUGCCUAUGGGACUGUGCCACCUCUGAUCAGGUCCAGACACGUGAUUACUGUGCAGCCCCUGAACCCGCAGCCCUGGACACGGCCCUAAUGGCAAAUCAUGAGCACGUAAGAGAAAUUGAGGAGCUUCGAGCCAAGCUGGAGAAACUGACCGCCCAACACGGCUUUGGUGCGAAGUUUACAUACACCUUAGCCAAAUACAUUUAAACUCAGUUUUUCACAAUUCCUGACAUUUAAUCCUAGUAAAAAUUCCCAGUCUUAGGUCAGUUAGGAUCAUCACUUUAUUUUAAGAAUGUCAAAAUGUCAGAAUAAUAGAAAUUAUUUAUUUAAGCUUUUAUUGCUUUCAUCACAUUUUUAGUGGGUCAGAAGUUUACAUACACUCAAUUAGUAUUUGGUUGCAUUGCCUUUAAAUUAUUUAACUUGGGUCAAACAUUUCAGGUAGCCUUCCACAACAAGUUGGGUGAAUUUUGGCCCAUUUCUGCUGACAGAGCUGGUGUAACGGAGUCAGUUUUGUUGGCCUCCUAGCUUGCACACACUUUUUCUGUUCUGCCCACAAAUGUUCUAUAGGAUUAAGGUCAGGGCUUUGUGAUUGCCACUCCAAUACUGUAACGGCUUUCUACUGGUGAAGGAGAGUCGGACCAAACUGCAGCGUGUAGAUUUCGAUCCAUGUUUAAUAAAACAACUUAACACGAAUCAACACACAAACUCAACAAAACAAUAAAUGAAACGAAAACCGAAAACAGCCUAUACAUGUGUCUACAAACCUCUAACAAGGACAUCAAGACACACAGGACAA